GUCCAGCUCCAGCACCUCCCGAAAACCGCACCUGGUGGUAAAAUUGGUUAGUUGCAGGAAGAUCACACCCCGGAUUCUGACAAGAAGCUUCCAAAAACCAUAAUAUCAUCAUCUAUGCUUUCUCAAUUUGGAUGAAGAACCGAGUAAUGUCUGGUAAAAGGGAAGAAAGCCAGUUCGGAUGUCUCAGCUGAGCAGGUGGGAAGUGGUUAUCUGCCAGGAGGAGAGGCACACGGACUGGAACAAACAAUGAUGACAACGAAGACAAAUGUUUGCAUAAUGCACAGAAGAUGCUGCCUCAUUUUCCCUGUGAAGACUAAGCUGUCUCCAAAAAAUCAUGGGCUGACCAAGCACAACAGGCUUACCUUCUCUCAUGGCUAAGACCAAUGAUGGUUCGUCAUAUGGGUGAUGUGGCUUAGCUCAACAUCAGGCAUCUCAACAGGGGUAUGAACACUCAGAAAAAAAGAACACAUUUUGUACUACUUCAUUGCAUAUUCAGUCAACAGAGAGCAGUUACACACUUGUUGUUACUUAGAAUGCAUGAGGUGCUUGCCCAAGGUGCCAGUCAUGCAAGAACUGUCACUGUAUUGGGUUAACAGGACAGUUUGGACUAUCCAACCACAUCUAAGGAAAUCUGAUAACUUCAACAUCUAUAUGAGACUACUGGAUAAAUUAGAUGUUGCCUGCAAGCUGGAUCAGAUGGUCAGUUGCUUCUUCGCACAUGAUCUUGCUCACACUCUGUAGAAUGUAUUAUGCACACUCUAACAAUUUGGUUAUGCAUCUUUUAAAUCAACUUCAGUUUAUUUUAUGAUCAUGUUUCUAAAUUUCAUUUACACUAAUUCACAUUUUACAGAAGGGUGAAUUGUCAAAAUUACAACUUAUGCCAAAACCGUUUCUAACAGAAAAGCUCUUGUUUUUGGUUUCAAGCUGGUGGGGUCAUUAUAUCAUAUGAUCUUGUAACCUCCAGUAGCCAUUAUGACACAGAUGUCUCAGGUGACAGGAUGGGAGACUCAGCAUGGUUUGAUUCCUACAGGUGUUUAUUGUUCUAUAUCUGAAAAUCAGUCUGUAGAAUUUCCCACAGUAAAUCACUACCUUAAAAGAAGAUAGCUUGUUAGGCAUGUACUAUUCUCAAGGUGUUUUAUUACAUGAUGUUGAUAUUAGUUUUAGUUUUUGCAAAUAAAAUCCUUCAACAAACAUAAAGAUACAAAGGGAUACAAGGACACAAAACCCCAGUACAAGUCCAUCCAGCAUUUGUAGUUUAAAUGCAUUCCCCUGAAAUAAUAAUUGUGUAUCAAAAAUUGCAUGCAGCUCUUUCAAAUACAUGACAAGAAAAGUAAUUAUUUUGUUGUUACAGUUAACGUUGCAAUAGAAGCAAAUGGCCUGUGUUGUGUUUUAUUAUGUGUAGGGCAUUUGUUUUCAUUGUGAAUUAAAGAUAAAAUUAUCAUGCAAGAAAGUAUUGGAAAUGUCUGUUAUAAAUGAUUUCUGAUUAACAUAUCUAAACAUAUCUAAUAAAAACAACAAUAAAUAGCACUCAUGAAGACA